CCUACGGGAGGCAGCAGUGAGGAAUAUUGGUCAAUGGACGCAAGUCUGAACCAGCCAAGCCGCGUGCAGGAAGACGGCUCUAUGAGUUGUAAACUUCUUUUGUACGGGAGUAAACGCAGAUACGCGUAUCUGUCUGAAAGUAUCGUACGAAUAAGGAUCGGCUAACUCCGUGCCAGCAGCCGCGGUAAUACGGAGGAUUCGAGCGUUAUCCGGAUUUAUUGGGUUUAAAGGGUGCGUAGGCGGUCGGGUAAGUUAGAUGUGAAAUCCCGAGGCUCAACUUCGGAAUUGCCUCUGAAACUGGUCGGCUAGAGAGUAGUUGAGGUAGGCGGAAUGUGUGGUGUAGCGGUGAAAUGCUUAGAUAUCAUGCAGAACACCGAUUGCGAAGGCAGCUUACCAAGCUACUUCUGACGUUGAGGCACGAAAGCGUGGGGAUCAAACAGGAUUAGAUACCCUAGUAGUC
rnacentral:rRNA from 1 species